GGGAGCGGAGCGCUGAACAAGAACACGGUGGGAGGCGGCCUGCGCGGCGCCACCCGCCAUGGCCGCGGCGGGGUGAGCACUGCGUGGGGCCGCAGUCGCGGACUCGGGCUCCUCCGCCGCAAACCAGGGGCUGAGGCCGUAGCAGCUGGGGUCGCUGUCUGUCGGUAGCUGUAGCCGCCUGCACGUCGUCGCCGUCCAUGGCGCGGCCCCGCCGCCGCCGUCGCUGCUGACCCGGGCCCGGAGCGGUUUCCGCCCUCCACGGGGCGCGGGCGGCCUGCCUUUGCGCCCGAGCCUGCGCCCGCGCCCCGGGGCUACCGGUCGGGUAGUCAGCGAUGGGGAACACAACUUCGUGCUGCGUGUCGUCCAGCCCCAAGCUCCGGAGGAAUGCGCACUCGCGGCUGGAGUCCUACCGCCCGGACACGGACCUCAGCCGUGAGGACACUGGCUGCAAUCUGCAGCACAUCAGCGACCGGGAAAACAUCGACGGUGAGCGGCGCCGGCCUGGGCCUCGGCCUAUCCCUCUCCUCCCUGCAGGACUCGGAGCCUUGCUGCUCCGCUGCCCCGGGCUGGACUGGCAGGGAAUGGUGGAAAUUUUGCUAGCCACGGCCGGGGAGGCCCAGUAGGUCCAGGGAGGGCGUGUGGCAUGCGUGUGCUGGGUUGCGUCUACAUGCGUGUGCACCCCAGAGAUGACAUGGGAGGCUCCAGGCAGUGUGCUUUUGGUAUGUUGCCAGAGUUAUGUAUAGGAUGGCGGAGGGGUAGUAUUUGCUCUUUCCAAAAGGAAGGGGAUUGUGACAGUGUUCUGACUGGAGUUGCUUUGCGUUCCCCCAGACAACUCUACCCCUUUUCCCAUUAAAAACUAAACCAGGC
rnacentral:lncRNA from 1 species